rnacentral:rRNA from 1 species
UACGUAGGGUGCAAGCGUUGUCCGGAAUUAUUGGGCGUAAAGAGCUCGUAGGCGGUCUGUCGCGUCUGCUGUGAAAACUCAGGGCUUAACCCUGAGCUUGCAGUGGGUACGGGCAGACUAGAGUGCGGUAGGGGAGACUGGAAUUCCUGGUGUAGCGGUGAAAUGCGCAGAUAUCAGGAAGAACACCGGUGGCGGAAGGCGGCUCUCUGGGCCUUACCUGACGCUGAGGAGCGAAAGCGUGGGUAGCGAACAGG